GCCAACGUUUAAACAACACAUUGGAUGACUGCUAUUGUUGCAUGUUAGAUUUACCGCGUAGCAUGUGCUCGAUGAUUACAAAAGAGGGAAACAUAACUUCGGCAGUCGAAAGUCGGUGAACAUAUUGGAAGGGUCAAAAAAGAAAGAUGGGUCAUAUGCUUUAUGUAUUAAAUUUAAUUGUUUUCUAGUUUUUCUUCUAAAAAAAGUUUCUCAAUAAAAUUUUAUUCGA
rnacentral:lncRNA from 1 species